GCCAACGUAGCUCAGCGGUAGAGCAACUCCAUGGUAAGGAGUAGGUCGCCGGUUCAAUCCCGGCCGUUGGCU
rnacentral:tRNA from 1 species